UAGGGAAUCUUCGGCAAUGGACGAAAGUCUGACCGAGCAACGCCGCGUGAGUGAAGAAGGUUUUCGGAUCGUAAAACUCUGUUGUUAGAGAAGAACAAGGACGUUAGUAACUGAACGUCCCCUGACGGUAUCUAACCAGAAAGCCACGGCUAACUACGUGCCAGCAGCCGCGGUAAUACGUAGGUGGCAAGCGUUGUCCGGAUUUAUUGGGCGUAAAGCGAGCGCAGGCGGAUUCUUAAGUCUGAUGUGAAAGCCCCCGGCUCAACCGGGGAGGGUCAUUGGAAACUGGGAGACUUGAGUGCAGAAGAGGAGAGUGGAAUUCCAUGUGUAGCGGUGAAAUGCGUAGAUAUAUGGGGGAACACCAGUGGCGAAGGCGGCUCUCUGGUCUGUAACUGACGCUGAGGCUCGAAAGCGUGGGGAGCAAACAGG
rnacentral:rRNA from 1 species